rnacentral:misc_RNA from 1 species
GAAAUUGAUCCAACAGAGAUACGGAGUCACAUAGUUGAGGUUGGUAGCUUUAGGACAAUACUUACACGUGGAAAAAAAAAUUUCUUCUAGACUGUGAGAGAAAGUAAUAGCUUGUGAGCUGAUUUGGCUGUUCUUAUGUUAGGGAUGGUGUCAUCAUGGAAGCAUCGAUUUAAAGAGAGAUACUGAUAUUUGGUUGGGCUGUGUUUAUGAAAUGUAAAAUAGAGGUUAGGAUAGAGAGGCGUGAUGAUCUGGAAGUAACAUGUAAAGUCAUAGUGCAUAGUCCCUUUUCACCGGGUGUUUGUGGAAGCUGGCUCAGCCUUAGCC